rnacentral:rRNA from 1 species
UACGUAGGGUGCGAGCGUUGUCCGGAAUUAUUGGGCGUAAAGAGUGUGUAGGCGGUGCUCCCAGUCUGUUGUGAAAUCUCCCGGCUUAACUGGGAGGGUGCAGCGGAAACUAGAGUGCUAGAGGGUGGGAGAGGUAAGCGGAAUUCCUGGCGUAGCGGUGAAAUGCGUAGAUAUCAGGAGGAACACCUGUGGUGUAGACAGCUUACUGGACCACUUCUGACGCUGAGACACGAAAGCGUGGGUAGCAAACAGG